AGAGUUUGAUCCUGGCUCAGAACGAACGCUGGCGGCAUGCUUAACACAUGCAAGUCGAACGCAUGGUCACGGUUCGCCGUGGUCAUGAGUGGCGCACGGGUGAGUAGCGCGUGGGAACCUGCCCAGGAGUGGGGGAUAACCGAGGGAAACUUCGGCUAAUACCGCAUGCGCCCCCGGGGAACCGGGGGGAAAGAUUUAUC
rnacentral:rRNA from 1 species